rnacentral:rRNA from 1 species
AGCAGCCGCGGUAAUUCCAGCUCCAAUAGCGUAUAUAAAGUUGUUGCAGUUAAAAGCUCUAGUUGAAUUUUCGGAUCAAAUAUGUUGGUCGUGCCUUUGUACGUACUGGCAUUAUUUGUUUUCUACUCUGAAAGAAACCUCGAUGUCAAUUAAUUUGGUGUCUUUGGGGGGAAAUCAACUGUUACUUUGAAAAAAAUUAGAGUGUUUAAAGCAGGCCGCGCUUGAAUACAUUGCUGAAUAAUGAA